AUGAGUCUCUUAUGUUGGAACUGCCGCGGUGCUGGCAAACCCGCGACAGUUCGAGAGCUUCGUGAUCUAACGAAGCAGUUUGCCCCCUCUGUACUGUGUAUCUUGGAAACUCAAAUAGAGGGUUCUAGAGUCGAGAGCAUGGUUGGCUCUUUAGGGUUUAAUAAAAGCUUUGUUGUGAGUAGUUCUGGCAGAAGUGGUGGUUUAGGAGUUUUU
rnacentral:rRNA from 1 species